CGCUGGCGGCAGGCCUAACACAUGCAAGUCGAGCGGAUGAAGAGAGCUUGCUCUCUGAUUCAGCGGCGGACGGGUGAGUAAUGCCUAGGAAUCUGCCUGGUAGUGGGGGACAACGUCUCGAAAGGGACGCUAAUACCGCAUACGUCCUACGGGAGAAAGCAGGGGACCUUCGGGCCUUGCGCUAUCAGAUGAGCCUAGGUCGGAUUAGCUAGUUGGUGAGGUAAUGGCUCACCAAGGCGACGAUCCGUAACUGGUCUGAGAGGAUGAUCAGUCACACUGGAACUGAGACACGGUCCAGACUCCUACGGGAGGCAGCAGUGGGGAAUAUUGGACAAUGGGCGAAAGCCUGAUCCAGCCAUGCCGCGUGUGUGAAGAAGGUCUUCGGAUUGUAAAGCACUUUAAGUUGGGAGGAAGGGCAGUAAAUUAAUACUUUGCUGUUUUGACGUUACCGACAGAAUAAGCACCGGCU
rnacentral:rRNA from 1 species